CCUACGGGAGGCAGCAGUGGGGAAUAUUGCACAAUGGGGGAAACCCUGAUGCAGCGACGCCGCGUGAGUGAAGAAGUAAUUCGGUAUGUAAAGCUCUAUCAGCAGGGAAGAAAAUGACGGUACCUGAGUAAGAAGCCCCGGCUAACUACGUGCCAGCAGCCGAGGUAAUACGUAGGGGGCAAGCGUUCUCCGGAUUUACUGGGUGUAAAGGGAGCGUAGACGGCAGUGCAAGUCUGGAGUGAAAGGCGGGGGCUCAACCCCCGGACUGCACUGGAAACUGUACGGCUGGAGUGCAGGAGAGGUAAGUGGAAUUCCUAGUGUAGCGGUGAAAUGCGUAGAUAUUAGGAGGAACACCAGUGGCGAAGGCGGCUUACUGGACUGUAACUGACGUUGAGGCUCGAAAGCGUGGGGAGCAAACAGGAUUAGAUACCCUUGUAGUC
rnacentral:rRNA from 1 species